GGUUUAUUAGUCAUAGGCACACUGAAAAGGGAUGUGUCCAUGGUCUUAUAUUUGACAGAAAGCUGUCAGCGGUCAGGGAUACCAUAUUGACCCUGGUGGACACUGAUCGGCUCAUAGACGGACAUGGCUAACCAGAAGAAGCUGAUAGACGAGCUCUGUGGGAUUGUUACUUCUUUUCUAUGUCCCCAGGGGAUUGUGCCAGAGAUUGAAAAAUGUUCUACAAAGCUGCCUCAUUUUUCUAAAGGUGGAACAAAGCCUGUGUGCACAGUGAGGCUCCAGCAUGGCCACACUUAUCACAUUGAGUUUGUGUACAAGUUUUGGCAGCACAUUUUGGGCCAGCUUCGCCUGCCCCUACAGCCUUGCUUUAUUUUGACAAAUAACGGCUUGGCCACCACUUUGAAAUGUUUUAUGAGCCCGCCAAGGGAUAUAGACUUUCAGUAUGGCAACAGGGUCAAUAUGGCCUGCGAUGUGAAUUUGGAGAAAAACUCUUGUGUUAUCAUAGAGGACGAGGAUUUCCUGAGGUUCAAGAGCUACCAUGUGUUUCCCAAGGACGUACCAAUCUAUAACUCUAUGGUGGUAUGUAGAACCUACAUCACUGAUAUGAGGAACGCAGUACAAUUUUUUGUGGUCAAGCCUGGAAACAGGAGAAAGAUUGUGCAUAUGUUGGAAAGUAUUGAGGAGAUGCCUGAAACCCCACAACAGUUGUAUUUUUGUGGUGGACGUGGGUAUAAGAUGAUAGGGGCUGGGCUCUCCCUCUUCUUUUUUGCAGCCAUAGUGGCGCUGGCCAGUAAACUAGUAUGGUGAUGGGGGCCUUGGACUAUCUGCGCUUGAUGAAUAUUUCAGUGGAUGAGUUUAGAAGCUUUUGUAUCUAUGGCCACCUCAGUGGGCAGCGUGGAUGGGGUGAGCUGUUGUUGAGCAAUCUUUCAUUUAAAAGAGCAGUGUGCCAUAUACUGAAAAUACAGUGUGAGACUAAGAAGAGGUGGACAAACAAGGUAUUGGUGGCGAAUAGUGCGUUGUCCCUACUGACCCUCUUCAGGAUGGUUCUUCAUGAAUGUGUUUUUUCACACAAAUAUUUUAUACCUGACAGGAUCGAGGACAUGUGUUUCCCGCUGACCAAAAUACUCACUGUGCCCUUCCUCAAGGCCCUAGAUCUGUAUCUCUCCCAGUUUUCCAUCUCAUGCAAGUUUCCCAUAAUUAAAAUAUCCACUGUGAAUCCUACCCUUCUGGCGUUUACCAAGAAGAAAUAUCUGGCUAGUGUUGUGUCUGAUCAACCCAUCGAGGUCCCUGCUCCAUCUGCCCGGCCUGAUCCUGUGAGGUUUACUGCUGCGGUGCCCUUAGCUUCUGAUGAGCAGUCUCUGGUGAAAGCUUUACAUUCCAGUACCGGGACAGUCCAGUGUGGAAAUCCAUUUUAUUAUAUGAUGACCAGACUUUGCUUGUAUGGACUAAUGCAUGGUAGGGGGGGAAUUGUGCCAGUUUCCAGCUCUAGUAAGCAGAGUGUAUAUGAUGUGGCUAUAAGAUUUAUAGGUUCUAGGAUAUUGAGCCCGAUAGUGAGGCUGCCAAUUUUAUCCAGGGCUUUGGCAGACCUGGCGCUGACGGGGCACGGUCAUCAGAUAACAGUGUGUAAUGAAUGUGGCCACUGUUUAAAUUUGGGCAGGGAUAAAUUUCUUGCAGUAAAUUUUUCCCCCACAAGUAUGUUUUAUUGCAGAGAUCAAAAGGAGAAACAGUUUAACAUAUGUGCUACAACUGGGAGGAUCUAUUGUUCAUAUUGUGGGGCGACAGAGUUUACAGUGUAUGACAUGGUGGGAAGGUAUGCUACGGGGGAGCCUUUUAUUAGGGCGGUUUCCUCAGCUAACUCCCUUAGUAUUUUAGAUAAUAGCGAACAGGAGUGUGAUAUACUGAUCCCUUGUUUUGGUAAAUCUAGGUCUUGCAGUAUUAAGCUGAGGGCGACAUUUAGGGAGCUACUUUAUUUGACAGCGUCUGUUGAUAAUUUUAUUUGUCAAAAGUGUUCCAAUAAGGGUGAUGAAUAAAGACAGGGU
rnacentral:tmRNA from 1 species